rnacentral:rRNA from 1 species
GCAGCUUUCUGGAACUGUAAACUGACACUGAGGCACGAAAGCGUGGGGAGCAAACAGGAUUAGAUACCCUGGUAGUCCACGCCGUAAACGAUGAGCACUAGUUGUUGGGUCCUACACGGAUUCAGUGACGCAGUUAACGCAAAUAAGUGCUCCGCCUGGGGAGUACGGUGGCAACACUAAAACUCAAAGGAAUUGACGGGGACCCGCACAAGCAGCGGAGCAUGUGGUUUAAUUCGAAGCAACGCGAAAAACCUUACCAGGGCUUGACAUCCUUCUGACCGGUCCUUAACCGGACCUUUCUUCGGACAGAAGAGACAGGUGGUGCAUGGUUGUCGUCAGCUCGUGUCGUGAGAUGUUGGGUUAAGUCCCGCAACGAGCGCAACCCUUGUCGUCAGUUACUAACAUUAAGUUGAGGACUCUGACGAGACUGCCGAGGUCAACUCGGAGGAAGGUGGGGAUGACGUCAAAUCAUCAUGCCCCUUAUGUUCUGGGCCACACACGUUGACUGCGGGUUACAAGAGAAGCAAGAGCACGACAUGGAGCAAGUCAACAAAACAGAUCCCAGUUCGGAGACCAGGCUGCAACUAGCCCCAUGAAGUA